ensembl:lncRNA
CUCCGCCCCUUUUGCCAGCGGGCGGGGCGCCCCCUUGCGGAACGUCGCCGCCGGCCGUUAACGCCGCGCCGCGUCACGUCCCGCCGCGUCACGUCCCGCGUGGCCGCCCGCCGCACCUCCGCCGGUGGUGAAAACGCUUAAAGAAACUGUGGCAGCUUUGCACGGAAAGGGUCCGCGUCUCGAAACGUGCCGCGGAAACAGAAAUGUCUGAGUGACGCAGUAACCGAGCGGCGCCACCCGCGGUCGGCUGCGUCCGGCGGAGCGACGGAGGGAGCGGACGAAAGCAGAUUUCCAACGGACUGUUCUCAAAGGGAGGGACUGACGGAGGUUUGCUGGGCUGCGCUCGGACCGAUGAUUAAUUAGAACGAGGAACAGCACUCCAGGGGGAAUAGGGGAAAGACCUGUAUGUAAAAGGGGACUGCAAACUACGUAGGCCGUAUGUAAAACCACCGCCACUAAAUUGCCUUUUAGUUUUCAGUAGUUCCAUUGAAGAGUGCCAGCAUAUCCACAUCGCUGCUUUUUAAGUUACCUUCCACGUAAGCACCAGACCUUUGUGCUGCGGUUCACCUGCCAGAUAAAUGGGUUGUGAGCCAGGUGUGAGCACGACCGCACUCGUUUUGAAUCACCCAUGGUGCUGUUUUUAUGCUGCCCUUUGGCUUUUUGCUGGCUGCGGGAAGGCCGGUGAUACCUGAUCUGGGUGAGGUAUGCUGGGACAAGUUCACCUCUUCCAUAAACUCUAAAGCAAAUUUGAAUCAGCAGAGCGUGUACCGGGUCAGUGCGUUGCAUCACGUUUCCCUGGCCCCUUGAUCCGGUGUUUGGUGUCCCAAAAGGAAUGCAACAUCUCCAGCCAGGAGAUACGUAGCACAAACAGAUGAGGGCGCUGCACCACCCAGCUGCUCCCCAGCGCUGCCCUACCCGGGCUGCUGCCCUUCCAGGGUCCAGCAGAGUGCAUGGCUGCUCCCUCAGACUGACCGUGCUGAGCCGGUGAUGAUCUGCAGCUGAGUGCUCAGUUAGCACUGCCCGCAUGGAGCAAAGCAGGAUGAGGGCUGCUGCCACGGGGUACUGAGCUGCGAGGUGGGAGGAGAGCCCUGUGAGGACGGUCAUAGCCACACUGCUGCCCACAGGAGAUCUGCAGCCACAUCAGUCUGCGUGUGCCGGUGCUGCUGUGCUGUUACUGAGACAAACUCACCUUGCACAGAUCUGACGUGCCUGUUAAAUGAUGCUUACCAAACCCAACAGAAACGUUCGUGUCACAACAAACAAUUAGCUUGUUGUGGCAGCACAUGAGCAAGCAUUCUCAGCUACUCAUUUAUAACUUCAAAAAGCAUCAUCCUAGGAGGAUGAGAAAACACCGUGUGGCUUUCAGAGGGAGCUGGUUUAGGUUCUGAAAGAUGUGUAUCUGAAAGUCUGUAUGCAAAUAGAAGCGCAGUGUUAGGACUGGGUGUUCUCUGCACACCUGUUGGCACCAGGACUAUUUCUGCAGCUUUAAGUUACUUAUAUCUGAGAGUAAAGGGUUAUAGAAGAUACGUCCAGCAGUGAAUUGUCCUUUUAGGUUCUGCAAACCAACCUCCAGAGUGAGCUCUCUCUGUGACUUCUGUGCAAGAGAAGAGGAACUUGCCUCACCUGUGAGCCCACAGGGCCAGUCCUGCUGGAAUAACCACAUGGCUCUGCGAUGUCGCAGUUUCACAGCUCGGUGUCAUUGGUGCUGUUUUUGAGUUACACACAAAGCAUCCUGCUGCUUCCAGGAGAAGCAUUUCCUUCCCCUCUCAUCUGAGACACAGAUGGAAAAGAAGAAGCCGUGUCCUCUUGCAACAAGGCACAGCUGAACACAGGGUGCUGCUGGACCCAACGAAGCGCAGCUGCGGAGCUCUGCAGACCCAGCAGGCUGGAAUGGGGCCAGGAGGUGCUGCCCUCCAUAGAUGCUGUACUUCAUGGAGGUGCUGCCCUGCACAGAGCUCAGCUGGGCUGCAUCAGCCUCAUCCUCUCCUUGGGAUGCCUUCCUCCCCGUGCGCCUUCUUCUGGUCCAGGGGGGAAGCGCCACAUUUGUAUGCAAUGUGCAAGAGCGCCUCAGCAAUUAAAUUGAAUUCUAAUUAUUGUAUAUCACAUAUUAGCAAUUUCUACCAUGCUAAUAUUAAUUGCUAACAAGACGAUAAGGUGUAUCAGGUAAUCAUGACGGAGCAUUGCCUUUGCUUGCCUGGCAGAGAUGUGUGGUGAUGAAGCACUGGGAAUCUGGUGCAGAAUUUGCUGCAGACGUGACUGUCUGUUGGCAGAAGGUGAAGGCUUCCCCUGCUCCGGGGUGUUUGCAUGGCUCCCAUUGCACGUAUGGAAAGCCCAGCUUAUGGGGCUGGCUCUGAACUCACCCAGCAGUGCAGUGGUGACUUAAUGUCCAGUCUCAUAGUGAGGUGUUGGUGUCCCAGGGGUUAUUUGUCUCUUCUGAAAAGAAAGCCCUGUGUGAGUCAGGCAGUCUGCACUAUGAACAGUGAUACAUUACAUUUGGACAUAUGCUAAAUGAAAUGAC